AGUCAGGUAGAGAAAACACUGACAGUGCUUUGUCGCUUGCAUCUGCAGUCAGUAAGAAAACUCGGUUUGAGUGUUUGUUUCAUUUUGACACAUUUGUAAAGGGAGCAGAAAAGGAUAAAGCAUUCAUGUUUGUGUCAGUGGACCUGGAGAGUCCUGCACAUAUUUACUUCAAAGUAAAAUUCGGAUGCAUGUGAAGGCUUUGGGUGAGGGGCUGUGACUGGUGUCCGGUUGCAAAUCAACACUGGGCUCUGACCUGGAGCCAGAGACCCUCGAACCACAACAAAAUGUGAGCCCGGUCUUGUCGAGUCUCAGAUUUCAAACUCGAGAAGAUGAGGCAAACAUCUGAACUUUUUACUCCACUCACCAUCAUCACCGCCCAUCAUUUGGUGAACCAUCGUCAAGCCGCUCCUCGUAGUCGCCACGCCUCAACCUUUGGGCCUUUCUGGGAGAAGAGGGUAUAAAUUAGACAAGACAACAAAACUAUUUUAUUUUCGCAUCCCUUUCAAGAGGAACAUUCCAUGUGUUCUAUCCUUCAUUCCACCGGAGUCUGUGAGUGUACAUAACCAGAUUUCAGUGGCGUGAAGUGUACGAGACAUGGAGGCUGCACACCGGACCACCAACUCAAGAAGGUGCUCUUCUCAGUUUGGUUCGGAACACGUUGCAAGUUGUUAGUGCACAAGUUGCUUCAGCAUUUCUGUUACAUCAAAUUUCUGACCUUGCUCCAGUCUCUCUUGUUCUAUGUGCAAAUGAUUAAAAAAAGUAACUUUUUUUGUGAAUUGUGGCGUUUUGCUGCAAAAA